ACGAGUUUGAUCAGUGGCGUCGACGGACGAACGCUGGCGGCAUGCCUAACACAUGCAAGUCGAACGGGAUACGAGAGCUUGCUUUUGUAUCUUAGUGGCGGACGGGCGAGUAACGCGUGAGCAACCUGCCCUUCAGUGGGGAAUAACGUCUGGAAACGACUGCUAAUACCGCAUAAGCGCACAGGAUCGCAUGAUCCGGUGCGAAAAACUCCGGUGGUAUGGGAUGGACCCGCGUCUGAUUAGCCAGUUGGCAGGGUAACGGCCUACCAAAGCGACGAUCAGUAGCCGACCUGAGAGGGUGACCGGCCACAUUGGGACUGAGACACGGCCCAAACUCCUACGGGAGGCAGCAGUGGGGAAUAUUGCACAAUGGGGGAAACCCUGAUGCAGCAACGCCGCGUGAAGGAUGACGGUUUUCGGAUUGUAAACUUCUUUUCUUAGUGACGAAGACAGUGACGGUAGCUAAGGAAUAAGCAUCGGCUAACUACGUG
rnacentral:rRNA from 1 species